AUUGAACGCUGGCGGCAGGCCUAACACAUGCAAGUCGAGCGGAUGAAGGGAGCUUGCUCCUGGAUUCAGCGGCGGACGGGUGAGUAAUGCCUAGGAAUCUGCCUGGUAGUGGGGGAUAACGUCCGGAGACGGGCGCUAAUACCGCAUACGUCCUGAGGGAGAAAGUGGGGGAUCUUCGGACCUCACGCUAUCAGAUGAGCCUAGGUCGGAUUAGCUAGUUGGUGGGGUAAAGGCCUACCAAGGCGACGAUCCGUAACUGGUCUGAGAGGAUGAUCAGUCACACUGGAACUGAGACACGGUCCAGACUCCUACGGGAGACAGCAGUGGGGAAUAUUGGACAAUGGGCGAAAGCCUGAUCCAGCCAUGCCGCGUGUGUGAAGAAGGUCUUCGGAUUGUAAAGCACUUUAAGUUGGGAGGAAGGGCAGUAAGUUAAUACCUUGCUGUUUUGACGUUACCAACAGAAUAAGCACCGGCUAACUUCGUG
rnacentral:rRNA from 1 species